UUACUCAUUUUAUUUUUUUCUCCAGAUUACCUAGAGUAUCUUUGCAUUUUUCUGUCUUCCAGGAAGAUAUAUGAUAGGCUUUCUUUAUAUUUCAAUUAUUUAUGCAUUUUAUUGUUUUAUCUUCCAUUCUCUGUGCAUCUUCCCUUCCUUCCUUGCCCCAUUUAUUUACCCUGUUUAUGCAUACUGCUCAGUAACAAGCUUUCUGUUGUAUCGAGUUCCACGACCUUCAUUAUUGGGCACACACUCUUCCUUGUUGCAAGUUCCACCUAAUAAAGAGUGCUUGGCCCAAAGACACGCGCCUCAAACCCCUCGACUUCCUUCUGUUACGACACGGGUGCUCGAGUCCUGCGCAGAUCACUGAGUGCCUGGCUAAGUUCCUCUGACUUAAAUUACUGUAUACGGACGUUUUGACGAGUAUAUAGAAGGGUCUUUUUCGGAGAUUUUCAUUGUUUCCUUAAUUUCAUAUUGCUAUUGAUGCUGCUCAUAUCAUUAUCAUAACAAUUUUAACCUUCUGUGUAAUUAAGUGAAAGAAAUAAGUAAGAAAUUUGUACGUAAAUCUUCGGUCACCGAUUCUCUUGGGCAACGAUGCACUGGAUUAUCAUAAUGACUCCAUAACUACAAGUGUUUAACCUUUCACAUAAAAGCAAAUACUCGAAGGGACUCGAAGAUUCAACGCCAUCAAAACUUCCUAGGCGCUGCUGCUCACGCUGACGGCGACGCACGGACAGCCUCUUCGCCCCCUCCCCCCACACUCCGCUGCGCCCCGCCCUCGUGGACGGCAGGGUCACCGGCUGCAGGAGCUGCCGCCGGGGGUGCCAGGGGUAUCUCAGGUGCGGCUGGAUCGAAGGCCUUGGACGACACGUUGAGAGCACGUUAAACGACGUCGAUAACGAACUCUAACUCGCCCUAACAAAUCAAACACGCGUGGAGGGAGAAAAUUUAAGAAACAAGGAAAGUCUGAUUUUUUUUCAGUCAUAUCAUGUGUUUAAAGUGUUUAAAGAAUGAUCCAAAAGUGUUCUGUGAUGUCUGAAUUAAUUUCUUUGGGGUUCGAGCUUCGGUUGUGAUAUAUGAAGAAAAAAAAAAUAACCGACAUGCGUUUUAAACGAAUAUUCAGUGAGUAAACUCUAAAUAAAAGUAAAUAAACAUGCACCGGACUAAGGACUUCAACGUUUAUGUUAAUAAUUAUAUCAUAUCAUUAAGUCUAUUAUUGUAUAACCAUAUCUUAUUAUCAUAUUGUAACAUUUAGAAUAUAUCUGCAUCAUUAUCUAUUCUAGCUGUGCCUGUUUUGUACUGCGUCUUAUGAUCAUGAAAUCAUCAUCUUUAUGUAAAAGUACUUUAGCA